ACGGAGGAAAAGAAACCAACAGGGAUUGCCCUAGUAACGGCGAGUGAAGCGGCAACAGCUCAAAUUUGAAAUCUGGCUUCGGCCCGAGUUGUAAUUUGUAGAGGAAGCUUUAGGCGCGGCACCUUCUGAGUCCCCUGGAACGGGGCGCCAUAGAGGGUGAGAGCCCCGUAUAGUUGGAUGCCUAGCCUGUGUAAAGCUCCUUCGACGAGUCGAGUAGUUUGGGAAUGCUGCUCAAAAUGGGAGGUAAAUUUCUUCUAAAGCUAAAUAUUGGCCAGAGACCGAUAGCGCACAAGUAGAGUGAUCGAAAGAUGAAAAGCACUUUGAAAAGAGGGUUAAAUAGCACGUGAAAUUGUUGAAAGGGAAGCGCUUGUGACCAGACUUGCGCCGGGCGGAUCAUCCGGUGUUCUCACCGGUGCACUCCGCCCGGCUCAGGCCAGCAUCGGUUCUCGUGGGGGGAUAAAGGCCCUGGGAACGUAGCUCCUCCGGGAGUGUUAUAGCCCAGGGUGUAAUGCCCUCGCGGGGACCGAGGUUCGCGCAUCUGCAAGGAUGCUGCGUAGACGGACU
rnacentral:rRNA from 1 species